GACGAACGCUGGCGGCGUGCUUAACACAUGCAAGUCGAACGGAAAGGCCCUGCUUUUGUGGGGUGCUCGAGUGGCGAACGGGUGAGUAACACGUGAGUAACCUGCCCUUGACUUUGGGAUAACUUCAGGAAACUGGGGCUAAUACCGGAUAGGAGCUCCUGCUGCAUGGUGGGGGUUGGAAAGUUUCGGCGGUUGGGGAUGGACUCGCGGCUUAUCAGCUUGUUGGUGGGGUAGUGGCUUACCAAGGCUUUGACGGGUAGCCGGCCUGAGAGGGUGACCGGCCACAUUGGGACUGAGAUACGGCCCAGACUCCUACGGGAGGCAGCAGUGGGGAAUAUUGAACAAUGGGCGGAAGCCUGAUGCAGCAACGCCGCGUGCGGGAUGACGGCCUUCGGGUUGUAAACCGCUUUCGCCUGUGACGAAGCGUGAGUGACGGUAAUGGGAAAGAAGCACCGGCUAACUACGUG
rnacentral:rRNA from 1 species